rnacentral:rRNA from 1 species
GACGAACGCUGGCGGCGUGCUUAACACAUGCAAGUCGAACGGAAAGAGAUGAAAGAGCUUGCUCUUUUAUUAAUUUCAGUGGCAAACGGGUGAGUAACACGUAAACAACCUGCCUUAAGGAUGGGGAUAACAGACGGAAACGACUGCUAAUACCGAAUACGUUCUAAGCAUCGCAUGAUGCAUAGAAGAAAGGGUGGCCUCUACAAGAAAGCUAUCGCCUUAAGAGGGGUUUGCGACUGAUUAGGUAGUUGGUGAGGUAACGGCUCACCAAGCCGACGAUCAGUAGCCGGUCUGAGAGGAUGAACGGCCACACUGGAACUGAGACACGGUCCAGACUCCUACGGGAGGCAGCAGUGGGGAAUCUUCCGCAAUGGACGAAAGUCUGACGGAGCAACGCCGCGUGAACGAAGAAGGUCUUCGGAUUGUAAAGUUCUGUGAUUCGGGACGAAAGGGUUUGUGGUGAAUAAUCAUAGACAUUGACGGUACCGAAAAAGCAAGCCACGGCU